UUGACCUCGAAUCAGGUAGGAAUACCCGCUGAACUU
rnacentral:rRNA from 2 species